GAUGAACGCUGGCGGCGUGCCUAAUACAUGCAAGUCGAGCGAACGGACGAGAAGCUUGCUUCUCUGAUGUUAGCGGCGGGCGGGUGAGUAACACGUGGAUAACCUACCUAUAAGACUGGGAUAACUUCGGGAAACCGUAGCUAAUACCGGAUAAUAUUUUGAACCGCAUGGUUCAAAGGUGAAAGACGGUCUUGCUGUCACUUAUAGAUGGAUCCGCGCUGCAUUAGCUAGUUGGUAAGGUAACGGCUUACCAAGGCAACGAUGCAUAGCCGACCUGAGAGGGUGAUCGGCCACACUGGAACUGAGACACGGUCCAGACUCCUACGGGAGGCAGCAGUAGGGAAUCUUCCGCAAAGGGCGAAAGCCUGACGGAGCAACGCCGCGUGAGUGAUGAAGGUCUUCGGAUCGUAAAACUCUGUUAUUAGGGAAGAACAUAUGUGUAAGUAACUGUGCACAUCUUGACGGUACCUAAUCAGAAAGCCACGGCUAACUACGUG
rnacentral:rRNA from 1 species